rnacentral:rRNA from 1 species
AUUGAACGCUGGCGGAAUGCUUUACACAUGCAAGUCGAACGGCAGCACGGGGCAACCUGGUGGCGAGUGGCGAACGGGUGAGUAAUACAUCGGAACGUGCCCAGUCGUGGGGGAUAACGUAGCGAAAGCUACGCUAAUACCGCAUACGAUCCAAGGAUGAAAGCGGGGGACUCGCAAGAGCCUCGCGCGAUUGGAGCGGCCGAUGGCAGAUUAGGUAGUUGGUGGGGUAAAGGCUCACCAAGCCUGCGAUCUGUAGCUGGUCUGAGAGGACGACCAGCCACACUGGAACUGAGACACGGUCCAGACUCCUACGGGGGCAGCAGUGGGGAAUCUUGGACAAUGGGCGCAAGCCUGAUCCAGCCAUUCCGCGUGCAGGAUGAAGGCCUUCGGGUUGUAACGUGUCUUUUGUUACGGUAACGAAAGGACUCUGGUUAAGUACCUCGGAGUUUAUGUACGGUACCGUUAACGAAUAAGACACCGGCUAACUACGUGCCAGCAGCCGAC